CACGCCCAGUGAAUGCACCUGGGCACCGGUACCCUGAGAGCCUAACCAUUAAUACGCUUCAGAGCAGAAGAGGAGGGGGCUGUGAGUCCUGCAAUCCUGUACACUGAACUCUCAAUAAGUGCGCUGGACUCAGAAGGAUUUGCUUUGUUUCCAAGCUAUGAAACCGCUGCUUCUCUGAACCCCAGCAGAGGAAGGACAGCCCACAUGUUUCAUUAAACACAAUGAUUACCCUGCAGCCGCGCUGGAUUCACAAGGGCUUGCUUUGUCUCCAAGCUAUUAAACAGCUGCUCUUCAUACAAGUUUGGCUGCAUGUCUGCGUUGCAGUUACAGUGCCCCGGUCUCCAGUGACGUCACCUCCCGGCAGUGAUGUCACUCUCAGCUGCUCUUUCUCCUAUAAAGCGGGGGCUGAUCUCACCAGAGUGGUGGUUACCUGGG